rnacentral:lncRNA from 1 species
CUAGCAAAACAUUCAUGCGGAGGGAUAAUUUUGGGUUGAGAUUUUCUAUUUAAAUUCCACACUUCUUUUUAUUCAUUUUAAUACUUAAAUUAUUAAGUUGUAAGUUUUAUUAUUGUGUAAAAAGACAAAAAAAGUCAUCUAACUUAAUACUUAACCCUAGACUCUAGUACAUCUAUACACACCCCCCACACACCCCAUCACUCUUCAUAUUAAGUUUUAGA